rnacentral:rRNA from 1 species
AUACGGAGGGGGCUAGCGUUGUUCGGAAUUACUGGGCGUAAAGCGCGCGUAGGCGGACCAGUCAGUCAGGGGUGAAAUCCCGGGGCUCAACCCCGGAACUGCCUUUGAUACUGCUGGUCUUGAGUUCGAGAGAGGUGAGUGGAAUUCCGAGUGUAGAGGUGAAAUUCGUAGAUAUUCGGAGGAACACCAGUGGCGAAUGCGGCUCACUGGCUCGAUACUGACGCUGAGGUGCGAAAGCGUGGGGAGCAAACAGGAUUAGAAACCCCAGUAGUCC